CAAAUAUACCGUAUUUCACUUAUCAAUUGAAUUCAGAAAGCGACGCGUACGUUAAUAUUGCUUCUAAAAAUAUAUCAGAUUAUUUUAAAUUAUAAAUGUAGAACUGAACUUAAAAACUGAAAUAAAAGAUUAAGUCGGUUGGAGGUGGAGGAGGAGGAAGAUGAUAGAUCGGCCAUCUUUCUUCUUAUUGCUAGGUGAGUGUAUGAGGUCGCUCUUUGCGUCGUCUUACUCGUUUGGCACUCUCAGAUAUACCACUUAAUAGAGCCAAAGGUAAGCUAAGCAAUUAUACAUUUUUAAAUUUUAUUUUCGUUACUUUUAGGAAGAUACUUGAGAAAAUUGUUUGCGUUUUCAUUUUCUUCUCGAAAUAAUCUAUGCGUUUGUUUUGGUUACUUGCGAUGCCGGGCUCGGUUUUUUAAUAUGCAUGAUUAAAAACUGGAGUAAGUUUAUGUUGGGGGGCAUUAGCUAUGUUGUGGCGGCGGGGAAAAGAAAAAAAUCAAAUUAGAAAAAAAUCUCGGGUUCGUUUAUCUUUCCGAUAGCUUUUUAAUAACUUUUAUUCAUUCAGUUUUACCUAGAAUUCGUAGUGUGUUACAAGAACUUUUAAGUAAAUGCUGUCCGCCAUAGUCUAUUUCAACCACAUGCAAGCAGGUAAGGUAGAAUUAGUGAGAUGAGGAAAAAAAUCAAUCUUAAAAUUCCGUGUGUGUUACGGUGAUUAUACACUAACAUAUUUAAAAUAUAUGAAUUAGUUCCCCGAUUCUGAUUUAAACAAUCUUCAAAUUCCCCCUUUUUCUCUGAUUUUUUUGUCUUUUUUUGUGGGAAGACAUCGGUGAAAGGCUUUCCCUUCAUCUCCCUCACACCAUGACGCACGAUUCUUAGGUGUAUGAAAGAGAUGUGUGUUCUUUCUUUAGUUAUAAUUAUGAGGACUUAUUAAAUGCUAUCUGCCUCACUUUUUGUUUCCUCCAACUUAUUUGCUGUCGUUUUUCUAUUGUUAAAAGGUUGACUAUCCUGUUCCGCUCCCCUAUCUCGUCAUUCUUCAUGCUACCUUUCCGAUGUAAACCUUUAUUAUCAGUAUAAUUAUUAUUAUCAUCAUCAGAUCAGAUAUUUCUUUUAUUGUAGUUCAUAGAUUUAGUUUAAAAUCAAUUUUUUAAAAAAGUAAUGAAUUAAUUGCAUUUUAUUUAUUUUACUUACCUCUUUUUUUCCUAAUGCAUACAGCACAUUUUAAGAAAAUAUUUUUGUAAUGUAUGUAUGCUAAUUGAGGUAUGAAAUUAGCUGAGUGGACUUGAAACUGACCACGUAGAAAAUAAGUGUAAUUGAUUACCGAAGGUAACUGACAUAUCUAAAUGCAAUGUUUUUUGAAAUUUUUAAUUUUCAAAAAUAAAAUAAUAAUUAUGAUUGGUGAUCAAAGGAAAGUUAUAUAUCGAUCAAUUUAAAAUCGAUGGUUGUUCAAUGGCUUGUUAAAAAGUAUUUAAAUGCAAAUUUCAAAAAGUUGACUUCUUUAAUUGUUUUCGUUAAGCGAUUUAAAAUAAAAAGCUAUCUUGAACUCAUAGAUAAUUGUCUUUUUUUUUAACGAUUUUUUUUUUCUUUCAUUUAAUCGCCACGAAAAAAAAAGGGGGAAAAAAUUAAAUCACUGCAGUGAUUCAUGUUCUGAUUGAAUAGAUGUCUCGUCUUGAUAUCGAUGUGGCUGAGGUUUAAUGCAUUGGAAUGUGUCCUCAACAUAACGAUGUUUCUGGACGUGUCUUGGCCAUAAUUUUGUAUUUUAAUGUCUUGCCUGUUGUGACCAAGGCUCACUAUUCUAUUAAUUUAAUGUAGUUAUGUUCUUCGAGCAUACCGAAGAAAAAAGUAUUUUGAUUUUAUUUUAAUCCAGUUUAAUAACGGUAUCUUACAAGCGGGGAUAAACGGAUGUACAGGACUUAAAUUUUAUUUAUUCUCUUUCUAUUUUAUCUCUAGUCCACCCUGCAGAACCAAUAAAAUUGUCUUGUAAUAUAAAACACGUUAGUCAAUUGUCUCUCCUCCCUCUCAAGAAGUGUCUUUUGUUUAAAGUGUGCAAGUGGGGGUGUAAUCAACAUUAUUAUUAAUUCAGUUUGAAAUGUUAUUAAUAUAGAUUUCUUACACGCACACAAACUGUAUAGAUAUGAGGGUGGGAGUUUAUGAUGUUCAUGUGCUUCUAAAGGUGUCAGUAAUAGAAAUAGAGUAUUGGAACAUAUAAUACGAAAUGUCCAUUUAAAAUACAAGUUUACAGUACUUUUAAUUGGGAUUUUAAAAUGUAUGAUUCUAAAUGUGUAUUUGACAUGAAAGAUAAUGAGUAAUUUAAGACAACAAUUUUUCCGGAUGAAUGAAGCUUUCUCCAUUGUCUGGUUCUUGUGUCUACUUGUAUGUUUGAAGGUUUUUCUGUAUUACGUGUGAAGUUUAAACAAAUUGUCUCGACGUUGAAUUAAGAUUAUGUAGCUACGUUUUUUUAUUUUUUUUUAUUAAGUCUAACAUGUUGGCAUUUUAUGCAAGUAAGGCUUAUUUUAUUUCAUUUUUGUAUCACCAUCUCCAAGCAAUAAGAAAAAAAAAAUCUUUGGAAAGCUCAGUACCUAAUUUGCUAAAAGAAAGUACGAAGAAAAAAAAAAUUAAGUUAUUCAAAAAUUCAUUUUGAUAUUUAAAGGGUCAGAAAGUGUAUACUAUACUCAAGUGUUAGAGCUAGCUAACUCAAGCUCUUUCCAUUACAAAUUCAACUCUGUUGUACUAUAACAUCACCCCACUUCAUAAGUCUAAGAAAGAUCUGAGGUUUUCUUAGACUAAAGAUAAGUGCUCUUUACGAAAACUUCAGUUAUUUUUACCUUAUUUACAUUUUUCAAUGUUAAUUUGAAAUAUAGCAUGCAAUAAUCUAAUUUGUUGCCUAGCAGUAUUUGAUAUAUAAUAGACGGUUCUGAAUAUGUACCAUACAUAUAGUCAUAAUUUUUGUCUUUUUUUUUAAAUUUCCCUAAACCUAAUUAUGUUACUUGUAAUUGUUUUAAAUUUAAUUAUAGGCAUAUAUGAUUUUUAUAGAAAGUUCUAAUGCUGACAUUACUGUGGGGAAAAAAUUUUUUUUUUUUUGAAAUUUGGGUUUUCUUCCUUUGUAUUAAUGCUAGAAAGAAUUAAAAAUUUCAUCACAUUUAUUAUCUUGGCAAAAUUUAUUGUAUUUUAACAAUACGUCAAUGUAUUCUGCUAAUGCAAAAUGAAUCAGUAAGCCUUUGUUCUGAUUGUGAUUAAGGCUAAAUACCAAAAGAUGCACUAUUCUAGAUGCAUACAAUUCUGGAGAGUUUUUUUUUUUUAUGAAAAGUAGGUAAAUAUCUUUUAAUAGAUAAAUACUUCUUAGCUGAAUGGUUUCAGUCUGCUGAUGGGGGUGGAACUGGGGUGAGCAGAUUCAGUCUUAUGAACCAGUUUAGCUAAAACUUUACAACCACUUAAAAAAGACCUUGAAAACGACAACCAAAAUGUUUUCUUACUAAAUAUAACAGGCAAUAUGUUAAUCUUCACUGCUUUUCCUACAUACUAUCGAAAGUGAAAAGACUUGACAUUAGCUAUUGAUAGUUAAUGUCAACAAGAGUCUUUCUUCUCGGAUUUCUUACAGUUCACUUAACAAUCCUAAUAUUUGAUUUUUAGUUAUAAAAGUUCUUUUUAUAGUAGUACUGCAUAUUUUUUUCAUUGAGAAUAAUUGAUUUAAAUAGUAUUGAUAUUACCUGAAGAUACAUUUGAGCACUCAGCUACCAAUGGAAUUGUAGGGGUGCUGCUGUGACACAAUGCACUCUUAUCCAUCUGUUGCAGCUAGCUGAAUGCCAGGGCUCAAGUCUCCGUCAAUGAUUUGUUCAACCAUUCUUUAAGCCUCUGCAAUGAGAGCCUCCAUUCUUUAAGCCUCUGCAAUGUGUGACAGGAAAGUGAAGGCUUGCACCUGAAGGAUUUAUACCAUUUACUUGCUUCAUUAUUAUACUGAAUAACUAGGUUAGAAAGAUGAAUUAACUUGAAUGGACUUGAAUGAGCAAAGGAUUAACAAUUUUAAACUUUUAGAAGCUUGGCUUUAAGCUACUGAAAAUCUCUGGUAAUAUCUUGAAGGGAUUAAUAACUUAAACUAUUGGAGAAUAACAAAGAAAAGUAUAAUUAUUUUGAAAUUUCUUCUUAUAAUUAAUACAGAAGAAACUAUUUAAAAAAUAGAUGUAAUUCAUUGCUUGGUGGCAGAAUAUGCAUAUUAGAUUUCUUGGUCUAUCAUUGUUUUGAUGACAAGAUGUUUCACCAUACUUCUACUUUCUAUGUUGGCAUGAGUUAGGCUGUUUAACAGGAUCCAGUUGGUUGGCAGUAUAAUAUAUAUAUACACACACACACACACAUAGAUUUAUAUAUAUAUACACACACACACACAUAUAUAUAUAUAUAUAUACACAGAUUUAUAUACAUAUAUAUAUACACACAUAUAUCUAUAUAUAUAUAUAUAUAUACACACACACACACACGCACAUAUAUAUACAUACACAUACAUUUAUAUAUAUAUAUAUAUACACACACACACACACACACACUAUAUAUAUAUAUAUAUAAUUUAGUAUGCAUUUAAAUAUAACAGUAACAUCAAUACUAGUUUCUGGAUUGUUUCCUGCUUUUUCAUUUGUUUGUGGCAAGCCAAAAUGCCAAAUCUAAAUUUGCAAGCAGUAUCGUAACUUUUUUUUUUGUGUUAUCAUUGCUGACUUAUAUGUCAUGUUGCAUGACCAAACCCAUAGUAAAGCUUAGAUUUUUCUCCAAUAUUCUUUUGGAAUUCUAAUAUUUUCUAAUUCUUACAAUAUAUUUUAGUAUAAUUAUUGAAGAAUAUUUUACUUACCCUUCUCUAAUUCUCUUCUUGAAAAAGAGAAAACUUGAGAAUGUUAACUGAUAUAUUUUUUUUAAUAGGAUUUUCAAAGCAAUUGUGCUUACAUUGUUGUAAUGAUUAAAAAGCCUUAUAUUAUUAAUCAUUUAUUACUUGGAUAUAUGAAGAAUAUAAUUCUACUGAUGCUAGAUGCUGCUCUAAGAUAAUGUUUUAAGAAGUAUUUACUGUACAAGAGUUUGUUUUGUGUGUUUUGAGUAUCUUGUUUUUCCAUGAGAAAAGUCAAUGAUUCAGACAUUAACGUGCUUAGUUUUAAAUCUGUGUUGUCAAGUGUAUACUUAGAAUUGUGAAAUAUUCAUAAAAUGAAUUCGAAGGAGUUUGACUCUCAAGUUGUGAGGCUUCAUUUUAAAUACCUUUGUUUUGAAGAAUAUGUACUGUGUAUGAGUAACUAGAUUUCAGUUAACAUUAAAUAAUAAUUCUUCCUAAUUUUGGCACAAGGUCAACUAUUUUGAGGAGAGAGGCAACUCGAUUACAUAAACCCUAGUAAUUUAUCAACCACAAAAGGAUGAAAGUUAGUUUUAGCAGAAUUUGAACUCUAAAUGUAGAGAAAAAAUCCCACUAAACAUAUUGUCCAAUGUGCUAAAAAUUCUGUAUCGCCUUUAGUCGAACAAAUCAACCCCAGGAUUUAUAUAUGUUGGGCUUCUUUCAGUUUCCAUCAACCAAGUCCACUCACAAUGCUUUUGUCGGCCCAAGGCUAUAGUAGAAGAUACUUGCCCAUGGUGCCAUGUAAUGGGACUAAACUUGGAAUCAUGUAGUUGGGAAGCAAGCUUCUUACCACACAGCCAUACAUAUAUAUAUAUUCUUUGCUAAUAUACAACAGUAAAAGAUUGAAAACUGCUGCUUUUUAAUUGAAAGUCCUUUGAAGUAUUUUUUCUUCAUUGUUGUCACUUUUGUCAUCAGAUGUAUAAUAAAACAGUAGUUGACCCAUUGGAAACCUGUGAUUCACCAAUUACAAAAUGUGAAUAAAUAGGAUGCAACAUUUAGUUUCAUACUCUAUUGUCGUACUGUCUCCUUCAUAGUAAUUACAAAAACUAUAGAUUUAAAAGAGAGAGAAAAAACAAACCUGUUUCAGGAUUAGUCAAACAAGUAUUAAAUCACAUCUUAGAUAUUUAAAGAUAUAUGACAACAAUUAUUUACAGAAUAUCCAGUCAAGUGCAGGUCAGAUGCUUGCAACAACUAGACAAGACAUUCUCUUGCUAUAACAUAACUUAUUUUGGCUCCUGAAGAAGAGGGUAAGCUGGAAUGAUAUUGGUGAGAAAAAGGUUAGUUAAUUACAGAAGAAAAGCAUAGCUAGGUACACAGGAAGAGUGAUUUUCAAGUACAUGCAUUCCAUCAUUUGAUAAAAGUGCACAAUAUUAAAAAAUACAACUGUGACUUAACACUGCUAGACUCUAUAGAAAAUAAUGAACUUAACUCUUCUCUCCUAGCUUUCCACUGAGCCUUGUUGUGUUUUCCAGCAAAUAGCCUUCAAAUUUGAAAAUGGUUUUAAAUCAUUUGUUAGAUGGAUGACAAAUAGAAUUAGAUGCACAAAAAACUCUUUACGCUAAUCAUUACCAUCAUGUCUAUUUUUCCACACUAGUAUGGAAUUGAACUAACAAAAUAAUCACCGUUACCAUUUUACCACUUCAAUCAUAAGAGGUCUCAUGAAAUUCAGUCAACUUUUUCAAGUAGAGGGGGGGAGGGGGUCACUGUUGUUUUGCUUCAUUAGAAUUUAGUGAUUACUGUUUGUUGAUUAGUAUAAAAGUUUAGAUGCUUAAUGUCAACCUAGAUUUAUAAUAAAACCAAUUGCAUUGAGUGCUAACUUAAAUGAGUAUAAUUAAAUUAGAAACAAAAUCAAUGUAACUAUAGGAAAAGUGGAUUAAAUAUUGUGAAAUGAACAUUCCCAACUGCAUGGCACUAUAACACAGAGCUGGCCAGAGUCUUGUGAGUGAAUUUGGUAGAUGGAAACUGAAAGAAGCCUGUCAUAUAUUCUUUUUAAACAAGAAUGUUGUUGUCAGAGAUUUCAAAGUUUUGACCAGCUAAGCCAUCAAUGGAUGACAGCUUAUCUGACUGUAAACUUCAAGGUUACUUUAACAACAUUCUUGUUUUAGAUUAAUAAAUUUGUAUUCAACAAAAGUAUAGAGUAACCCAUCAGAUUUCGGAGGAGUUUGUAGUGAAAGUUGGUGUGCAUCAGGGAUCUGCGUUGUCACCGUUGUUGUUUGCAAUAGUGGUUGAUGUGGUGACAGAGAGUGCAAGAGAGGGAUUGAUAAUGGAGAUAAUGUAUGACCUUGCUCUGAUGUGUGAGACAAUGGAGGGAUUGAGGGAGAAGUUUUGGAAAUGGAAGGAGGCGUUUGAAGGUAAACCUCAGGAAAACAAAGGUGAUGGUAAGCGGGGUGGAAGGAGAAGUGUUAGUGCGCAAGGUGAAUCCAUGUGGUGUAUGUGGGAGGAGGAUAAUGGUAAAUGCAGUGUUUAUGAGAUGUGAGAAAUGGAUUCAUGGUAGAUAUACGAAAAUAAAGAAGGUGAUCCCAAGACUGGUGAGAGAGUUUGUUUGUGGAAGAUGUGAGAAAGGAGCAGGAGGGCUGGCAGAACCCGUGGAAACGGUGAGAGGGUUUUGUUAUUUGGGAAAUAGCGUGGAUGUGAAGCAGCUGUGACAGCAAGAGCGAGACUUGGCUGGGUGAAGUUCAGUGAAUAUGGAGCAUUAUAUGGGAAAAGGUUCUCAUUAAAGAUGAAAGGAAGGGUCUAUAAGAGUUGUGUGAGGGCUGCAAUGCUGUAUGGGAGUGAGACAUGGUGUCUGAGGGAGAGAGAGAUGGUAAUUUUGAGGACUGAGAGAGCAAUGGUGAGAGAAAUGUGUGGGGUGAAGCUGUUUGAUAGGAGGACUGAGGAUUUGAUGGCGAUGCUGGGGUUGGAGGGAUCAGUGGAAUGGCUGGCAAGGGCGAAUGGAGUGAGGUGGUAUGGGCAUGUGUUGAGGAGGGAUAUAAAGAGCAUGUUCUAAGGAGGGUGACUGCAUUUGAGGUAAAUGGAGCGCGAGAGUGAGGUAGACCAAGGAGAAGGUGAAGGAGGAGAUUGGGAGGGUUAGUUUGAAAAAGGAGGAUGCCCAAAACCUGUGCGAGAUGGUGUGAGGGCGGUUGCUAUGGCAUUGAGGUAGAUCUGGCCACCUCCAUUUACCGGGACAAAACUCGGAUUUAAAACACUAAAUGACUGACUGACUGAACGUAAAAACACAAUGUGUGUGUGUGAGUGAAUGUAUGUUUGUCUCCUUGCCUUGAUAUUAUAUGAUAUCUGUAAAUGGGUGUCACUGUCAUACAAGCAGCAUCAUAUCUAUUUUUCUGCAAAAACAUGUCAAGCAAUGGGGAAAUAUGUUACCUUGCUUAGAAAUGAGGGUUGACUACCACAAGGUAGAAAAUCUGCCUCAACAAAACUCUGUCAAACUCAUGCAAAAGCAUAGAAAAAUGGACUUCAAAAUAGUGAUGAAACAUUCUUGGAUUCAAUGUUAUUUGCCAAGCUGAUGGUUGAAUUAUCAAACUGCCUAUCAUAAUAAUCUGUAAAAAUAUCCACUGAAUCCUUCAUAGACUUUUAUAGUUACAUAUAUAUGUUGCCUUACUGGCAUGUGCAAAAAUCAUUCGAGCGAGGUCGUUGCCAGUACUGCCGGACUGGCUCCUGUGUGGGUGGCACAUAAAAAACACCAUUUGAGCGUGGCCGUUGCCAGUACUGCCUGACUGGCCCUCGUGCUGGUGGCAUGUAAAAGCAUCCACUACACUCUCGGAGUGGUUGGCGUUAGGAAGGGCAUCUAGCUGUAGAAACUCUGCCAGAUAAGAUUGGAGCCUGGUGCAGCCAUCUGGUUCGCCAGUCCUCAGUCAAAUCAUCCAACCCAUGCUAGCAUGGAAAGUGGACGUUAAACGAUGAUGAUGAUGAUAUAUGUAUAUUUACAGGAUAUUGAUAAAGAUAAAUAUACUUGUAUGGUAAACUUAGUUUUGGGGAAUUCAAGAAGAAAAAAAAAUACUAAGGAAGAAUGUUAAAGUAAAAAUCUUGAAAUAGAUAUGUUCAAAUUUAUUUAAGAAUCCAAUAUUGAAUAUGCAUUGGUUAAAUAUGGGUUUCAAAUUUUGGCAUAAGGCUAGCAAUUUCAAUUACAUCAAUCCCCAGUGUUCAACUGGUAAUUAUAAGGAUGGAAGGCAAAGUUUGAAUUCAGAACGUAAAGACGGAUGAAAUGCUGCUAAGCAUUUUGCCUGGUGUGCUAACAAUUCUGCCAGUUCGUUGCCUUGCAUUGGUUAAGUAUUGUGACCUGUUUAUGUAAUUAAGCACAACUGAUGUGGACAGGAAGGAAGGUCCUUUUCCUUGAGAUUAGUCAUGUUCUGUAGCUAUUAUUAAAUAAGCAUUUACUGUUAAAAUAAAUGCCGCAGAUACAUAUGAAAAUAAUCAUAAAUGUAACUUUUUUUUAAAAAAUGUCUUAUGGCUGUGUGGUAAGAAGCUUGCUUUCCUACCACAUGGUUCCUGGUUCAGUCCCAUUGAGUGGCACCUCAGGCAUGCUAUAACCCUAGAUCGACCAAAGCCUUGUAAGUUGAUUUGGUAAGCAGAAACUGAAAGAAGCCCAUCAUAUAUGUGCGUUUGUGUUUAUCCCCCUUCACCACUUGGCAACUGGUGUUGGUUUGUUUACAUUCCCAUAAUCUAGCUGUUUAGCAAAAAAUAACUGAUAGAAUAAGUACUGGGAUCAAUUUGUUCAACUAAACCCUUCAAGGGGUUGUCCCAGUGAAUGGUUGCAAUCAAGUGACUGAAACGAGAAAAAAAAUAUAUGGUAUAAAAAUUUUUUUUUAUGUAAUGUGUUAAAAGAAAAGCAGUUGUCUCUCUUUUGCCUAAAUAAUUUUCAAUGAAAAGAACAUUUUUCAUCAUAAUUUUUUAAAUGUUUAAAUAUAUUUUUUUUUAAUUUUUCAGGUUUUUAAUUGAAAAUGAGUUAUCGCUCUAGUUCUAGUAAUCGUACUUCUAGUGGAAGAAAUAGAAGUGGGAGGUCAUCUCUUGGAUCCCACUCUAACCGAAGACUUAGUGGGGGUCAAGGGGGAUAUGGAAUACUUGGAAGUGCUCCCCCUAUGCCUGGUAUGAAUAAUAUGUGUUCUGGAAUGAACAAUAUGGGUGGCGGCGGCGGAGGGGG
rnacentral:lncRNA from 1 species